GGCUCGGCGAACUGCUCAGUAACACGUGGCCAACCUGCCUUUAGGUGGGGGAUAAUCCUGGGAAACUGGGAAUAAUACCCCAUAGGUGAUUAUAGUUGGAAUACUUUUUCACUCAAAGACUUGUCGCCUAGAGAUGGGGCUGCGGCGGAUUAGUUUGUUGGUGAGGUAAAAGCUCACCAAGGCGAUAAUCCGUACGGGUCAUGAGAGUGAUAGCCCGGAGAUGCACUCUGAGACAUUAGUGCAGGCCCUACGGGGCGCAGCAGGCGCGAAACCUUCACAAUGGACGAAAGUCUGAUGAGGGGACCCCGAGUGAAUUCACUUUGUGGAUUCUUUUGUUAAGUCUAGAAAGCUCAGCGAAUAAGUGGUGGGCAAGACGGUUGCCAGCCGCCACGGUAAUAACCGCGCCACGAGUGGUAACCACUUUUAUUGGGCCUAAAGCAUCCGUAGCCGGCUCAAUAAGUCUUUGGUGAAAUCGGGCAGCUAACUGUUCGGCUUGCUAAAGAUACUGUUGAACUUGGGACCGGGAAAGGUUAGGGGUAUUCCAUGGGUAAGGGUAAAAUCUGUUGAUCCAUGGAGGACCACCUGUGGCGAAGCGCCUAACUGGAACGGAUCCGACGGUGAGGGAUGAAAGCUAGGGGAGCGACUCGGAUUAGAUACCCGAUUAGUCCUAGCCGUAAACGAUGCCCACUUGGUGUGUGGAGACCUUCGAGGUUUUCAUGUGCCGUAGCGAAGGUGUUAAGUGGGCCGCCUGGGGAGUACGAUCGCAAGGUUGAAACUUAAGGGAAUUGGCGGGGGAGCACUACAAGAGGUGGAGGCUGCGGUUUAAUUGGAUACAACGCCAGGAAUCUCACCAGAGAAGACAGCAGGAUGAUGGUCAGCCUAAAGGGCUUACCUGACAAGCUGAGAGGUGCUGCAUGGCCGUCGUCAGUUCGUGCCGUGAGGUGUCCUGUUAAGUCAGGAAACGAACAAGAUCUGCGUCGUUAGUUGCUACUAUACUUUCCGAGGUAUAGGCACUUUAGCGAGACUGCCCGCGCUAAGUGGGAGGAAGGUGCAGGCAACGGCAGGUCUGUAUGGCCCGAAUUCUCUUGGGCUACACGCGGCCUACAAUGCGUGGAACAACGGGUCGCGACACCGUGAGGUGAAGCUAAUCCCUUAAAUCCAUGCUUAGUUCGGAUCGAGGGCUGAAACUCGCCCUCGUGAAGCCGGAAUCUCUAGUAAGCGGAGGUCAUCAUCUUUCGCUGAAUACGUCCCUGCUCCUUGCACACACCGCCCGUCAAGCCACUUGAGUGGGGCUUUGGUGAGGC
rnacentral:rRNA from 1 species